AGCGAACGCUGGCGGCAGGCCUAACACAUGCAAGUCGAGCGCCCAGCAAUGGGAGCGGCAGACGGGUGAGUAACGCGUGGGGAUCUGCCCGAUGGUACGGAAUAAUUCCGGGAAACUGGGACUAAUACCGUAUGUGCCCGCAAGGGGAAAGAUUUAUCGCCAUCGGAUGAACCCGCGUCGGAUUAGCUAGUUGGUGUGGUAAAGGCGCACCAAGGCGACGAUCCGUAGCUGGUCUGAGAGGAUGAUCAGCCACACUGGGACUGAGACACGGCCCAGACUCCUACGGGAGGCAGCAGUGGGGAAUAUUGGACAAUGGGCGCAAGCCUGAUCCAGCCAUGCCGCGUGAGUGAUGAAGGCCUUAGGGUUGUAAAGCUCUUUCGCCGGUGAAGAUAAUGACGGUAACCGGAGAAGAAGCCCCGGCUAACUUCGUGCCAGCAGCCGCUGUAA
rnacentral:rRNA from 1 species